rnacentral:rRNA from 1 species
GAUGAACGCUGGCGGCGUGCUUAACACAUGCAAGUCGAGCGGGCAAUUUAUCUAGCACUGAUUACUUCAAAUGGAAAUCAUAAGUGUAAUCAUGAAUUUCUACCUUUAAUAAAGAAAAAAGAAAUUCAUGUACGCAAAUAGUGAUAACACAUUUUAGUGGAGUGAUGAGUGCUGGAUAAAUUGCUAGCGGCGGACGGGUGCGUAACACGUGGGUAACCUGCCCCUAUCACUGGGAUAACACACUGAAAAGUGUGCUAAUACCAGAUAAUAUAAGCUUUUGGCAUCAUUAGCUUAUCAAAGAAUUUCGGAUAGGGAUGGGCCCGCGUCUGAUUAGCUAGUUGGCGGGGUAAGGGGCCCACCAAGGCAACGAUGGAUAGGGGAACUGAGAGGUUUAUCCCCCACACUGGUACUGAGACACGGACCAGACUCCUACGGGAGGCAGCAGUGAGGAAUA